rnacentral:tRNA from 10 species
GCCCAUGUGGCGGAAUUGGCAGACGCAGUAGACUCAAAAUCUACCGAAGAAAUUCGUAUCGGUUCGAGCCCGAUCAUGGGUACCA